rnacentral:rRNA from 1 species
UACGAGGGGCGCAAGCGUUGCUCGGAAUCAUUGGGCGUAAAGCGUGCGCAUGCGGUCUGUUAAGUUAGAUGUGAAAGCCUGGGGCUCAACCUCAGAACUGCAUUUAAAACUGGCAGACUAGAGUACGAAAGAGGAAAGCGGAAUUCUUGGUGGAGAGGUGAAAUUCAUUGAUAUCAAGAGGAACACCGGUGGCGAAAGCGGCUUUCUGGUUCGAUACUGACGCUCAUGCACGAAAGCAUGGGUAGCAAACAGG